rnacentral:lncRNA from 1 species
CACAGAACUAAAACCUGUUUUAUAGAGAGUGAAAUUCUACCAAAGACUGAAAAAAAUAACAUUUUUAUUUCAAAUGACCUCACCCAUAAGGUUUCAGAUGAGAUGCAAGAAGCAGCUACAGUUUUUACUAAUUAGUUAACAAUUUUUCAGUUUGCUUGUUACAGUCAGACUAUGACUUACUACCUCUGGGCAGCUACCAGAUUAAACUAGAUGAUACAUUUGAAAAAACAUGUUUUAACAAAGGUAAUUUUAUCUGAUAAUUUUAUGCUUCAUGAAAAUACAUAGCUAUGUUAAUGCACAUAGAUUGAUUUAGGCAGAAAUGUUGUAACAUUCAAUGUUUGGUAGAUACCUAACAUAGGGGCAAUGUGUUGCACUUUCAUCUCACAAGUAUAAGAGAGUUAGUGCCUUAAAAGCAUGUUUCUCUCAUAAAAAAAUGAUCCAGCUUAACUUGGGAUACUGAUGUUCCUGUGGCAGAUGAUAUCAAAACCUUCUUGGAAAGACUUCCAGACCUUAUGACGUUGACUUGAGGACAGAAGAGAUACCUGAAAACAGCAAAGCCAGGUACAAGACCACCAGACUAAAAAAUCUCUGAUUCCACAAAACAAAAAGGCAGAAUUGGUUGGAAUAAGUGGAUUUUAUGGGAUUCACGAAGAUUUCAUAAGGUACUGGCAGUGUUGCUCUCCACCUGGUUUGGGGUCCAUCAGGAUGGUGUGGAUGAACCCACAUCCACAGCAAUGUUAUAUAAUACGGAAGUAUCUGUACAAUCUCUUGACACAUAUUUCUGUAAGAUCUGAAUAAAAUUAAACAUCAAAGCACCCUUAGCUCUCAAAAGCAGCAUUCACUAGAUCCCAAGACUCCUAUUCUAAAAGCAAAAUAUCCAGUCCUUAUUUUUUUGUUUGUUUGUUUUUAGGUUUAUUUUUAUCCUUCUAUUCCAUUCCGUUCAUAUAAUUUUCAAAGUUGUCUUCACUACCUAUAACUCUGUUUGUGUUAAGUACUUUUGCCUCAUCCUAGGCCUAAAAAAGCAGCAGAGAAUUGUGAUAUUACAUUGUAAUGUGGUAAACUAGGGACAAUAUAGUUAGCUUAGGUACCUGAUUGGGAAUUUAUAUCUUUCCUCUGCCUUCCUUUAAACUGUUUUUCAAUCAUCAGUUUCAUGUUUUGUUUGACAGACCUAUUUUCAGUCUAACUGAGCUCA